UACGUAGGGUGCGAGCGUUGUCCGGAAUUACUGGGCGUAAAGAGCUCGUAGGUGGUUUGUUGCGUCGGCUGUGAAAACCCGGGGCUCAACCCCGGGCCUGCAGUCGAUACGGGCAGGCUAGAGUCCGGCAGGGGAGACUGGAAUUCCUGGUGUAGCGGUGAAAUGCGCAGAUAUCAGGAGGAACACCGGUGGCGAAGGCGGGUCUCUGGACAGUUCCUGACGCUGAGGCACGAAGGCCAGGGGAGCAAACGGG
rnacentral:rRNA from 1 species